rnacentral:rRNA from 1 species
UACGUAGGUGGCAAGCGUUGUCCGGAUUUAUUGGGUUUAAAGGGUACGUAGGCGGCCCUAUAAGUCAGUGCUGAAAUAUCCCGGCUUAACCGGGAAGGUGGCAUUGAUACUGUAGGGCUUGAGUGAAGUCGAGGUAGGCGGAAUUGACGGUGUAGCGGUGAAAUGCUUAGAUAUCGUCAAGAACACCGAUAGUGAAGACAGCUUACUAGACUUCAACUGACGCUGAGGCACGAAAGUGUGGGGAUCAAACAGG